rnacentral:lncRNA from 10 species
UAAACAUUAAGAUUCCCUUGCAGCUGGGGUUCUACGUGUGUUUCUGUUUCUCCAUGCAGAUAUAUUCACAGAAGACUUGGGGGCAGAAGUGAGCAAUAACACACGGUGGCACCACAGAUUUAAUUGGCUGAAGGUUCUGCAGGCUGUACAAGCACGGUGCAAGCAUCUGCUUGGCUUCUGGAGAGGCCUCAGGGAGUGUUUACUCAUGGUUGAAGGCAAGGCAGGAGCUUGAAUGUCACAUGGUGAAAGAAGGAGCAAGAGAGAGAGAGUGGGGGAGAAGCCACACACUUUAAACAACCAGAUCACAUGGGAGCUCACUCACUAUCACAAGGACAACAUUAAGCCAUGAGGGAUCUG